AAAAGAAAUCAACCGAGAUUCCCCCAGUAGCGGCGAGCGAACGGGGAGCAGCCCAGAGUCUGAAUCAGUGUGUGUGUUAGUGGAAGCGUCUGGAAAGGCGCGCGAUACAGGGUGACAGCCCCGUACACAAAAAUGCACAUAUUGUGAGCUCGAUGAGUAGGGCGGGACACGUGGUAUCCUGUCUGAAUAUGGGGGGACCAUCCUCCAAGGCUAAAUACUCCUGACUGACCGAUAGUGAACCAGUACCGUGAGGGAAAGGCGAAAAGAACCCCGGCGAGGGGAGUGAAAAAGAACCUGAAACCGUGUACGUACAAGCAGUGGGAGCACGCUUAGGCGUGUGACUGCGUACCUUUUGUAUAAUGGGUCAGCGACUUAUAUUCUGUAGCAAGGUUAACCGAAUAGGGGAGCCGAAGGGAAACCGAGUCUUAACUGGGCGUUAAGUUGCAGGGUAUAGACCCGAAACCCGGUGAUCUAGCCAUGGGCAGGUUGAAGGUUGGGUAACACUAACUGGAGGACCGAACCGACUAAUGUUGAAAAAUUAGCGGAUGACUUGUGGCUGGGGGUGAAAGGCCAAUCAAACCGGGAGAUAGCUGGUUCUCCCCGAAAGCUAUUUAGGUAGCGCCUCAUGUAUCACUGUAGGGGGUAGAGCACUGUUUCGGCUAGGGGGUCAUCCCGACUUACCAAACCGAUGCAAACUCCGAAUACCUACAAGUGCCGAGCAUGGGAGACACACGGCGGGUGCUAACGUCCGUCGUGAAGAGGGAAACAACCCAGACCGCCAGCUAAGGUCCCAAAGUCAUGGUUAAGUGGGAAACGAUGUGGGAAGGCCCAGACAGCCAGGAUGUUGGCUUAGAAGCAGCCAUCAUUUAAAGAAAGCGUAAUAGCUCACUGGUCGAGUCGGCCUGCGCGGAAGAUGUAACGGGGCUAAACCAUGCACCGAAGCUGCGGCAGCGAC
rnacentral:rRNA from 1 species